rnacentral:pre_miRNA from 1 species
CCUGGCGCGGCCGCGAGCUGCAUCCCGUGCGGCUGCAGUGCUGCGUGUAGCACCAUGGGAUUCAGCUCACGGCGCGCCACU